AGUUCUGUAAAUCCCUGCUGGGAGCAGAGACUGCGAAAAGCUGAGUCCGCCGAUCGUGCCCGGGACAAGGCUGCCUUCCACUCGCCCUCGCCGCAUCUACCUGGUAGGCGGCAUGCGCACGGGCUUAGAGGCUUGAGAGCCUCUGGAAGAGAAAGGGUCCCAGGAAGGAAACCUGCCCCCGGCCUAAGUGUCGGCGCCCAGAUCACCACGAACCCCGCACCUAGGCGCCGCCCACCAAGUUCCAAAGAAGUCCGAGGCGACCUGGGAGUCGGUCGGAUCCCAGCCGAGAAAAGAAACAAGCAGGAUAGCAAUUCUUAGGGGAGCCACCCUGGGAGUUUUAGGCAGCGUUUGCCUUUCCCUGGUUUUCUUCACCAAGCCCCAUCCUCCCCCCGCAUACCACCCCCAGUCAAAAGAGUGGGAGAAAAUGCACAGUUCGAAGUCGGUGAGAGCAAAAAUGGGUCUAGUAAAUCAACCCGUGGUGGUAGCUAAAAGGUUUGGGGCUGCAAAGAAACAAACUGUAAGUUUUGAGCAACAAACUUUUUCUUCAAUCUGUAAUAUGUCGAAAUGGGAAGGGGGUGUUGCAAAAGCCAACUACCACUGUCAAACUUAGCCCGUUUACAACAUGGGGAAAGGCGUAUUUCUUACUAAUAUCUCAACAACGAUAACAAUGCUGUAUCCUUCCUUACCUUGAUGUUGAACUGCGAAUCCUCCUCCGGAUCAAUGUCCAGGAACUUAGAAGAAUUGGUGAUAUUAGGAGUUCAGUACUUCUGGAAAAAAAUGCAAAUGGUUUAGCCAGGAUCUUUCCUGUCUGAUUCGUCACUAUUAUUAUAUCUGAUGAUGCGAAUGGUUGGAGCGAUUCAAUCCUAAGUCAUUAAUGAGCUAUUUUAUAAACACCACUGUCUGAAGAUCUUCAUUUACAUUUUGCUAAGGAUCACUUCGCUAACCUCACAGGCUUGUGUCAACAGCAUGAUUUGCAGGACUUCAGUUACACUCUUAUAAACAACACGGCUGUAUUGUUAAUCGGUUAAUAUUUUAUAAAGUGUAAAUAUUUUAUUAUGUUUUGAAGGGAACUAUUGAUUCUAAAUUAUUAAACCCCUGAGAAGGACUAUUUAAAUGAAAUAUACAAUUAAGUACAAUUAAAUGUACAUUGUGGUUAGUUUGUUUUCAGAUUCUGCACCCUUUUAAAUUCAUUGCUUUUCUCUUUACUGGAGUUUCCUCUUGUCCAUUUCUGAUACUGAAAAAAAUCUAUCAUGUUAGGAAAAAGCCUAAAUUAUUUAAAGUUGCAUUAAACUUAGAGGAAAAUGUCAAAUACGAUUAAUUAUGACCAGAAAUGUAUUUUGGAUGUUUGUAGAGUUGUAUUUCAUAUCACAUUUUACAAAUUUCUUCCGAUUUAAAGGAGAGUUCUAGGAAGUUUUGUGAUCUAUGUCCGGUGUGGGUUUUUGUCCUCUCGAGUUUUGUCUCUAAUAAAGGCCUUUUUUGUUUCAAAUUACAUACGCUUUUUACUGCACAAUUUUUGUAUUGACCUUAUUUCAACUGAAGCGAUUAUUUCCAGCAGGUUUAAUUUCGACAAUAAGAUAUAUUUUAAUAGUUUUACCUUUCGCUAGAAUUUUGUAUUGUUUAAAACAGUAAAUGAAUAAAUUUGCUGAUGAUUCAA
rnacentral:lncRNA from 1 species